AGAAGUUUGAAGCUGUGGACUUUGAAGCUGUGCGCUAUCGGUAGAAGUGUGGUAUGAGUUACUCUUUUUAGAUCACAGAGACUAAAUGUUAUCAAGUAGCCAGAAUGUUUUUAGGGGAGAAAAGCCUUUGAGAUCCAUGAGUGUAUUUUCAUUUUUUGUUUCAGUGUUCUGCUGGUGGGAUCUAACAUAGUUAUUUUAUAAUAUGUUGUUGUAAA